rnacentral:lncRNA from 1 species
UCAUAGACCAAUUAACUUAAGUCCUCGUACUCGAACACUAUAUUACGGUCUUAGCUUGAACUCUGAAUUUCUAUCAUAAUGAGUGGUCGAUAUCAUUUAUAGGACAAAGACUAAUAAUCUCAACUAAUUACAAUGAGACACAAUUAUACGAAGCCAUAAUUUGGGUAGUAUACUACAUCGGUAGACUAACACUUCUUGGUCUUAUCAAACAAGGGAAUCUAUUAUGACAACUCACGAGUUGCAAGGCUCAAACUCAACACAACAUCAAAGCAAGGUGUUGUAGAAAUUGUUCAAGAGAAUCAAAAGAAUGACCAGAGGGUAUGAAAUGAUUAACUACUAGGUCGAACAAAAUGACCUCGAGUAAGAACCCAUCUGGCUUUUCAACCGAAAGUUGAAACACAUGGGUUUUCAACCCAAAAGACGUCUACUGAGAUUUGGAUCAUGUGGACUGGCCAGGUCCAACAUCAUCACCUCCCAGUCACACGGGAAACAUCGUCCCGAACUUGAAGAGCCAUG